rnacentral:rRNA from 1 species
GACAGAGGGUGCAAACGUUGUUCGGAAUUACUGGGCGUAAAGCGCGUGUAGGCGGCCCGGCAAGUCGGGUGUGAAAGCCCUGGGCUCAACCCAGGAAGUGCACUCGAAACUGCCGAGCUGGAGUCCCGGAGAGGAAGGCGGAAUUCUCGGUGUAGAGGUGAAAUUCGUAGAUAUCGAGAGGAACACCUGUGGCGAAGGCGGCCUUCUGGACGGCGACUGACGCUGAGACGCGAAAGCGUGGGGAGCAAACAGG